GCGACGUUAGGAUAAUGGUAGUCUCGGGACAAGGUUGGCAGCCCUAUGGGUCAUAAAAGUUAAAUGCCAUGCGGCCUACUGUACAGGUUCGAUUCCUGUGCGUCGCACCA
rnacentral:tRNA from 1 species